ACCUUCAUUCCUCUGGUGCUGAGCGGGUUCUGUUCGGUUCUGUUAGUCAGCCAUGGUGGAAGGUGAUGACUAACUCUCUGACUGUGGAGGGUCGACCUGAUUUCAUGAUGAAGGACCUGAAACCCACCAGAUGAUUUCAUUAUUUUAGCUGUUUGUGAGAUGAAACAGACGAGCUGGAGAACGGAGGCAGAGAUAAUGAAGUCUCCCUCAGAAAACUUCAGCUGCAGCCUGAAGACCUGAGCUCUGAUCCUUCCUGGUCUUUGAGCUGCCUGGUUUCCCUCGGUCCUGGUCCCUCCAAGUCUACACUCAGCUGCAGACCCAGGUCCUGGAUCGGAUCCAUCUGUGAAGGAUUGACAAAGACCUCAAUCUGAACUCUGGUCCAACUGAGUCCAGAUUUCCUGAGCAGACGGUGUGCUGCAUGACGAGGCCUCCGGGCUGCAGUCGGGUCAGAGGCUGAUGGAGUCAGGAAAAGAAAAGCAGCUAAAACAUCUGAAGGUCUGCUUAAUCCUGAGUAUAUGUUUAAUCCUGAGUAUAAGGUGUUUAAUUCUGAGUAUAAGAUGGUUAAUCCUGAGUAUAAGACAUUUAAUCCUGAGUAUAAGGUGUUUAAUUCUGAGUAUAUGUUUAAUCCUGAGUAUAUGUGUAAUUCUGAGUAUAUGUUUAAUCCUGAGUAUAAAAUGUUUAAUCCUGAGUAUAAUA